GGAAACUUGAGUUGCUUUGGCAUAUUAUUGUUCUUAAUUUGAUAACUUUUCUAGUUAGGGUUGAAAAGAACCACAUUUAGUGAAUGUAAAGACUAUUUGAUAUUAUAAAGUAUUUCUAGUCCUAAUACAUGUAUUUUUUUUAGAUAAAAGGCUGCAUGUUCAGUGCUUUCCGACUUUUGGAAUUGGGUAUAUUAUGUAAUUAUAUAUCAAUUGGUAAUAGGACUUGGCAGGGGUUUUCUUUUUUAUGAUUUAAUUGUUUAGUUGUAC
rnacentral:misc_RNA from 1 species